AAAUUGAAGAGUUUGAUCAUGGCUCAGAUUGAACGCUGGCGGCAGGCCUAACACAUGCAAGUCGAGCGGAAACGAGUUAUCUGAACCUUCGGGGAACGAUAACGGCGUCGAGCGGCGGACGGGUGAGUAAUGCCUAGGAAAUUGCCCUGAUGUGGGGGAUAACCAUUGGAAACGAUGGCUAAUACCGCAUGAUGCCUACGGGCCAAAGAGGGGGACCUUCGGGCCUCUCGCGUCAGGAUAUGCCUAGGUGGGAUUAGCUAGUUGGUGAGGUAAGGGCUCACCAAGGCGACGAUCCCUAGCUGGUCUGAGAGGAUGAUCAGCCACACUGGAACUGAGACACGGUCCAGACUCCUACGGGAGGCAGCAGUGGGGAAUAUUGCACAAUGGGCGCAAGCCUGAUGCAGCCAUGCCGCGUGUGUGAAGAAGGCCUUCGGGUUGUAAAGCACUUUCAGUCGUGAGGAAGGUGGUGUAGUUAAUAGCUGCAUUAUUUGACGUUAGCGACAGAAGAAGCACCGGCUAACUCCGUGCCAGCAGCCGCGGUAAUACGGAGGGUGCGAGCGUUAAUCGGAAUUACUGGGCGUAAAGCGCAUGCAGGUGGUUUGUUAAGUCAGAUGUGAAAGCCCGGGGCUCAACCUCGGAAUAGCAUUUGAAACUGGCAGACUAGAGUACUGUAGAGGGGGGUAGAAUUUCAGGUGUAGCGGUGAAAUGCGUAGAGAUCUGAAGGAAUACCGGUGGCGAAGGCGGCCCCCUGGACAGAUACUGACACUCAGAUGCGAAAGCGUGGGGAGCAAACAGGAUUAGAUACCCUGGUAGUCCACGCCGUAAACGAUGUCUACUUGGAGGUUGUGGCCUUGAGCCGUGGCUUUCGGAGCUAACGCGUUAAGUAGACCGCCUGGGGAGUACGGUCGCAAGAUUAAAACUCAAAUGAAUUGACGGGGGCCCGCACAAGCGGUGGAGCAUGUGGUUUAAUUCGAUGCAACGCGAAGAACCUUACCUACUCUUGACAUCCAGAGAACUUUCCAGAGAUGGAUUGGUGCCUUCGGGAGCUCUGAGACAGGUGCUGCAUGGCUGUCGUCAGCUCGUGUUGUGAAAUGUUGGGUUAAGUCCCGCAACGAGCGCAACCCUUAUCCUUGUUUGCCAGCGAGUAAUGUCGGGAACUCCAGGGAGACUGCCGGUGAUAAACCGGAGGAAGGUGGGGACGACGUCAAGUCAUCAUGGCCCUUACGAGUAGGGCUACACACGUGCUACAAUGGCGCAUACAGAGGGCGGCCAACUUGCGAAAGUGAGCGAAUCCCAAAAAGUGCGUCGUAGUCCGGAUUGGAGUCUGCAACUCGACUCCAUGAAGUCGGAAUCGCUAGUAAUCGUGGAUCAGAAUGCCACGGUGAAUACGUUCCCGGGCCUUGUACACACCGCCCGUCACACCAUGGGAGUGGGCUGCAAAAGAAGUAGGUAGUUUAACCUUCGGGGGGACGCUUACCACUUUGUGGUUCAUGACUGGGGUGAAGUCGUAACAAGGUAGCGCUAGGGGAACCUGGCGCUGGAUCACCUCCUUA
rnacentral:rRNA from 1 species